GAUGAACGCUGGCGGCGUGCCUAAUACAUGCAAGUAGAACGCUGAAGCUUGGUGCUUGCACCGAGCGGAUGAGUUGCGAACGGGUGAGUAACGCGUAGGUAACCUGCCUCUUAGCGGGGGAUAACUAUUGGAAACGAUAGCUAAUACCGCAUAAAAGUCGAUAUCGCAUGAUAUUGAUUUGAAAGGUGCAAUUGCAUCACUAAGAGAUGGACCUGCGUUGUAUUAGCUAGUUGGUGAGGUAACGGCUCACCAAGGCGAUGAUACAUAGCCGACCUGAGAGGGUGAUCGGCCACACUGGGACUGAGACACGGCCCAGACUCCUACGGGAGGCAGCAGUAGGGAAUCUUCGGCAAUGGGGGCAACCCUGACCGAGCAACGCCGCGUGAGUGAAGAAGGUUUUCGGAUCGUAAAGCUCUGUUGUAAGAGAAGAACGAGUGUGAGAGUGGAAAGUUCACACUGUGACGGUACUUACCCAGAAAGGACGGCUA
rnacentral:rRNA from 1 species